UACGAAGGGGCUAGCGUUGCUCGGAAUUACUGGGCGUAAAGCGCACGUAGGCGGUCUUUUAAGUCGGGGGUGAAAUCCUGGAGCUCAACUCCAAGAACUGCCUUCGAUACUGGAAGACUUGAGUCCGGGAGAGGUGAGUGGAACUGCGAGUGUAGAGGUGAAAUUCGUAGAUAUUCGCAAAGAACACCAGUGGCGAAGGCGGCUCACUGGCCCGGUACUGACGCUGAGGUGCGAAAGCGUGGGAGCAACAGGA
rnacentral:rRNA from 1 species